rnacentral:rRNA from 1 species
GGGAAACUCACCAGGUCCAGACAUGACUAGGAUUGACAGAUUGAUAGCUCUUUCUUGAUUUUAUGGGUGGUGGUGCAUGGCCGUUCUUAGUUGGUGGAGUGAUUUGUCUGGUUAAUUCCGAUAACGAACGAGACCUUAACCUGCUAAAUAGCCAGGCCGGCUUUGGCUGGUCGCCGGCUUCUUAGAGGGACUAUCAGCGUCUAGCUGAUGGAAGUUUGAGGCAAUAA